AGACCAGCCUCAGGGAGUGACUGACGAAAAACGAGGGAAGAAUAACACUACUUGUUAUCUGUAUCAUUUUUAAUGGUUACUUUUUCAAAACCAUGGUAUAUACAGUACAGUACCUCAAUAGGCUCUUCCCUCGAGACACAGCAAAACUGGAUCUGCUGACAGCACAUGGCAGGCUGAGUUCAUAUUUGUACACCCAGCGAUGAUAGGAGUAUGGUGACAGGGUCAAAAACAUGGUAGGAGCACAUCAUGCAGAUUCAACGGAGUGGAAGACUUAUAUCAGCAGCUCAGAUGAGCACAGUAGAGCACGUCAACUGGAUGCAUUCCUUCCUUUACCCUUUCAUUAAGUGGUCUGUGACAAUAAGCUGCAGCCAGUCUCCUGGUGAUGGCAUUAGGAAGCUGGUCCCACAGAUGUCCUGUUGGAUUCAAGUUGUUUACUUGAUACCAUGCCAUUGAUAUCCCAGCACUACGAUGCCUUGCACGGUCCUGCCUUAAACAUCAACACUUCUGGACUGGCUAAAGGACUUCGUCUGCACCGAAGACAAAACUGUGUUAAAGGUGAUUCUACCCCACGUCCUCACAGAUGGCGGCAGUGUGGCUUUCUCGGAAGAAUGAGAAGACAAGGUAUCGCAAUGUAUCACAACAUGGCUGUGGAAGAGGUUCAAUGAAUAGUGCUUUGAGAAUUGUGAAUAUUUGCGACAGGUCCCUGUGUAAUUUUAAAAGGAUUCAGUAAUUUUAGCAGUGUAGGACAUGCCUUUGAGUUCAGCAAUGAUUCUGGUGCUGGAGUAUUUUAACAAUCAUAUGCACAUCAGCACUACCACCCUGGCUGAGAACAUUGACACUUUGUUGCAUUCACUUAAUGACGCACAUUCAUUAACUGGUCUGAAGCAUGGAAAGGUCUUAUGUUAGGUUCAGUAAUUACUUUAGGACUGCCCUUUACAAAUACAACUUUAUUUAACCUACAUUACACUGACCAUUCCAGGAUCACGUUUGAAACACACAUGCCAAAGCCCACUGUUGCCCCUCAAUGGAUGUCCUUUCAUCCUCAUCAGCUACUUAAUACUGUUAAAUGAAUGAGCAUAGGCAGUGCCUCAUCUCUGGCAUGAUAAUAAUAACAAUUACUUUUUCUUUACCAAACAAUUAUUUGGUAUAAAAAGAUCAUUGUCUCCUUCUCUUUCUUGUUAUGAUAACUGGAAAAGUUGUAGCCGACCAUCUUUCUGGUCAGCUAGGGAAAUACUGGUUUUGGUUCUUUCCAGUCGGAACACUGAGUUGUGCUGAGACUGUAAUGAACUCCUCCGAUCAGCAGAUUAUGCUUUGAUGUCCACUUACUUUAUGGUAGAAUGAGAUCUUGUCGGAAGGUUUUAUACAGGUUUACUUCCUUCAAGAUAAAGGGUGAAAAAGACAAGAUGAUGCUGCAUUAUCUUCGAAGGAAUAAGUCUCCGCUGAACCCUGUUUCCAUCCAGGGUAAGAUCAUAGAGGGGGUGCAGU